CUCAGCCUCCCUAGUGCUGAGAUUACAGGAAUGCGCCACCACGCCCGGCUUGUUGACUUUUAAAUUACUACAAAUAAGGAAAGCAGCAGCACCACAUGAUCCAGGUCAAGCAUUGUGGACUCAGCCUUGAAUAUUGAUCCUAUUUUACAUCUGCCUCAUCAUUGUGAGGACAUUUCACCCCCACCCUCUGGAGAGUGAUGCUGGUGGAGUAUAACUAGCAGGAAAACUAGUGACAUGAAGGAGGGAGCAGACCCGUCUUGUGGAGGAAGAGUAUCUCAAUUCAUUCUUUUACCCAACUCUCAACUAAUAAAACCUUGUCAUCACACUUAUGGGUUGGAAAACAACAAGCUAAUGCUCCGACACUGGGGACUAGGAAGUGUGGAUGCCACACAGUCCUGAAAUGCAAGAGUAAUUGGGGAGCAUAAUUAUCCACGGUGGCAGUGUGACGAGGGACGGAGGCUGACACUCCUAAGCUUGAGUAAAGUGCCCUGGAAUCCCAGUAGCUAUUGAAAUGAUCUACAUUUCAAGUUCCUGCCUCACCCGAGUGCUGGCAGCUCUCACAACCAGGCCCACCUGGGCACAUGUGGCCCUGUCCCAUAGGGCAGCCAGCCAUGUGCUGAGUCAUCAGUUCGUCCAAGAACUCUGAGCCAAGAGCUACAGCACAAGGCCACCCUGUUUUCCUUUGCCUCCCAGACCAAAACACUGCCAGGCACAGUGGCUAGAAGGGAGCGCCACCAGCGAAUGUUUCAACAAGACUUUUAAAUGCUAAUACAACUUUAUUAAAAUGAGCAAUGCACUUUACACUCACUAAUUUGUAGAAGUGGACUUAGAGGUCAUCUAGUUUAACUGCUUCAUUUUACAGAUGUGGAAAGAGAUGUGGAGAGGUGACCUGUCUUGCUGAAGUCACCCAGCUGGCCAAACCAGGAAUAAACCCCGGUCUCUUGAUCACCUGCCCCCCACCACAGUGCUCCUUCAUCUCAUGACACCAGCAUUCCCCUUACCACCAACACCCUCCGUGUUGUUACAGCUCUCCAGCACAUUCUUUUGCAAUAAAAUAAUGGCUGGCUGAAAUAUUUUACGCAUCCCGAUAUGACGCUUGGACAGUUGAAGGUAAAACCUAGGACGCCUCAGCAGAAAUGGCUUCACAUAUUAUUUUAAA